AACGAACGCUGGCGGCAUGCCUAACACAUGCAAGUCGAACGAAACCUUCGUGUCUAUGGGCGCACGUGUGCUUAACGCGUGGUAACCUGCACGUAGGUUCGGAAUCACUCCCCGAAAGGUGUGCUAAUACCGGAUAAUGUCUUCGGACCAAAGAUUUAUCGCCUUUGGAUGGGCGCGCGUUGGAUUAGCUAGUUGGUAGUGUAAAAGCCUCCCAAGGACACGAUGCAUAGCUGGUCUGAGAGGAUGAUCAGCCACAAUGGGAAUGAGACACGGCCCAGACUCGUACGGGACGGAGCAGUAGGGAAUAUUGGAGGCGGGGGGAAAGUCUAGUAAAGCAAUGCCGCGUGAGUCAUGAAGGCGUUAGGGUUGUAAAGCUGUCUUAGACGGGAUGAUAAUGACAGUACCGGGUGAAUAAGCACCGGCUAACUCCGUG
rnacentral:rRNA from 1 species